rnacentral:tRNA from 1 species
GCCCUUAUAGCUCAGUGGUAGAGCGCAUCACUCGUAUUGCCGGCAAAAUGCCCCAACAUGAUGAGGUCGGUUGUUCGAUCCAGCCUGGGGGCA